CCGGGGUCCCUCCUAGGGCCUUGUUUCCCGGGAUGCCCUACUCUCCAGCUGCACUGGGCAGAACCGUUGUAUCCCCUGGUGACAGAUGAAGAAACUGAGUCUCAGAGUGGCUCAGGGCCAGGGACCAGAAGCAACCCCCAGUCCAUGAAGGAGCCCCAGGAAGUGUGGGCAUUGAGGAAGGCAAGCUGAACUGGAGAGGAAAGAGCAGGGAGCCACGCGGGAGAACGCGGGUAGCCAGGCGGAGACGAGACCAGGGAUCAGCUGCCACAGACACAGGCCUUCCCAGCUCUGGACCUGCC
rnacentral:lncRNA from 1 species